rnacentral:rRNA from 1 species
AGAACGAACGCUGGCGGCAUGCCUAACACAUGCAAGUCGAACGAGACCUUCGGGUCUAGUGGCGCACGGGUGCGUAACGCGUGGGAAUCUGCCCUUGGGUCCGGAAUAACAGUUAGAAAUGACUGCUAAUACCGGAUGAUGACGUAAGUCCAAAGAUUUAUCGCCCAGGGAUGAGCCCGCGUAAGAUUAGGUAGUUGGUGGGGUAAAGGCCUACCAAGCCGACGAUCUUUAGCUGGUCUGAGAGGAUGAUCAGCCACACUGGGACUGAGACACGGCCCAGACUCCUACGGGAGGCAGCAGUGGGGAAUAUUGGACAAUGGGCGAAAGCCUGAUCCAGCAAUGCCGCGUGAGUGAUGAAGGCCCUAGGGUUGUAAAGCUCUUUUACCCGGGAUGAUAAUGACAGUACGGAGAAUAAGCCCGGCUAACUCCGCGCCAGCAGCCGC